rnacentral:lncRNA from 1 species
GACGCUUCCACACUAUGGUCUGGUCUCCUUGCGGCAAUAUUGCGUCAAAAUAGGCUCGGUGUGAUACAUGGCACAGACGAAUUGCUCUUGGGGAGCGACAUUGCUUAGAUGUACCUCUUUUGUUUAGGCGACUGUAUUUUUCGGCAAAAAAUGAGGGUAGUGGAGGGCAAGAGAAUAGCCAUCAGGAAAAACUGGAAAGCCAUAGGGAGACUAAACCAUAGUAGUUUUCUCUACUGGGUGAUGCUAGUGUGGAUACCAAGUGUAAAUUUGAGUUAUUCCGUUCCUUUUUCUUUAAAAAAAGUCUAGUUUAAUUAUCCCCUUCCCCUUGUUAUAAAAGAGGGAUGCCAAGAUUCGGCACCUUAAAAAAAAAAGGAGGGGAAAUGGAAAUCUUUCUGUUGGUAUCUCGUUUUGCUGACAUCACAACGUGUUUGGCGUUCAAGUCCACUGCCGGGCAAAACUCAAAUAAUUUUUUUUCCUUGCUAGCAGCUGCACAGUUAGUUUGCCUUUACAUUACUAAAGGAACAAUAAAAUGAAAGGCAAAACCGGCAUCUAAAACAUGGCCAAUGAAAGGAAGUUGGAAUGGGAGCCAAGAAUCCUGCUGUGGUGGAAGGAGGAUAGACUCCAUGAAUCCACCACAAUCCGGGAUUUCGCUUCUUUUUAACAAUCCCAUCUGCAGAGAGAAAUAAUGACUCCUGAAUCAUUUCAGAGUCAAAAAGUUAAAGCGGGGGCUGGAUGGUGCUACGCGGGUCCAGCUAUGGGCGAUUUUGAAGAUCUUGGCCUAGCAAGAUGGCAGCGGGUUUUAAAAUGGGAUUCCCACGAAGUUAACACUUUUUCAGUGCAGAAGUAUGAACUUCCCAAGAAGAGGUUCUUGUGGGUGACUGAUAGAAUCAGUUCUCUUCUUGCUGACCUGCCAGUGUCUGUCCUGAGCCUUCUGAUGUCUCCCUGGAGAAAUGGCUCUGAUACCAUUAAUGGCGCAAACACCAUGGAGACAAAUAGAUCUCUCUUUAUUCAGGAGGCUUUGAAUGAAGAAAAAAUAUAUAUUACAUCUUCACAACACGAGUGCCUUUUCUAUAUGGCACAUUAA